AUUGAACGCUGGCGGCAUGCUUUACACAUGCAAGUCGGACGGCAGCACAGAGAAGCUUGCUUCUUGGGUGGCGAGUGGCGAACGGGUGAGUAAUAUAUCGGAACGUACCGAGUAAUGGGGGAUAACUAAUCGAAAGAUUAGCUAAUACCGCAUAUUCUCUGAGGAGGAAAGCAGGGGACCUUCGGGCCUUGCGUUAUUCGAGCGGCCGGUAUCUGAUUAGCUAGUUGGUGGGGUAAAGGCCUACCAAGGCGACGAUCAGUAGCGGGUCUGAGAGGAUGAUCCGCCACACUGGGACUGAGACACGGCCCAGACUCCUACGGGAGGCAGCAGUGGGGAAUUUUGGACAAUGGGCGCAAGCCUGAUCCAGCCAUGCCGCGUGUCUGAAGAAGGCCUUCGGGUUGUAAAGGACUUUUGUCAGGGAAGAAAAGGCUGUUGCUAAUACCGACAGCUGAUGACGGUACCUGAAGAAUAAGCACCGGCUAACUACGUGCCAGCAGCCGCGGUAAUACGUAGGGUGCGAGCGUUAAUCGGAAUUACUGGGCGUAAAGCGAGCGCAGACGGUUACUUAAGCAGGAUGUGAAAUCCCCGGGCUCAACCUGGGAACUGCGUUCUGAACUGGGUGACUAGAGUGUGUCAGAGGGAGGUAGAAUUCCACGUGUAGCAGUGAAAUGCGUAGAGAUGUGGAGGAAUACCGAUGGCGAAAGCAGCCUCCUGGGAUAACACUGACGUUCAUGCUCGAAAGCGUGGGUAGCAAACAGG
rnacentral:rRNA from 1 species